GACGAACGCUGGCGGCGUGCCUAAUACAUGCAAGUCGAACGCACGAAGUUGAAGAGCUUGCUCUUUAACCAAGUGAGUGGCGGACGGGUGAGUAACACGUGGGUAACCUACCCAUUAGAGGGGAUAACAUUCGGAAACGGAUGCUAAUACUGCAUAGUUUCAGGAAUCGCAUGAUUCGUGAAGGAAAGGUGGCUUCGGCUACCACUAAUGGAUGGACCCGCGGCGUAUUAGCUAGUUGGUGAGGUAAUGGCUCACCAAGGCAAUGAUACGUAGCCGACCUGAGAGGGUGAUCGGCCACACUGGGACUGAGACACGGCCCAGACUCCUACGGGAGGCAGCAGUAGGGAAUCUUCCGCAAUGGACGAAAGUCUGACGGAGCAACGCCGCGUGAGUGAAGAAGGUUUCCGGAUCGUAAAACUCUGUUGUUAAAGAAGAGCAAGGAUGAGAGUAACUGCUCAUCCCCUGACGGUAUUUAACCAGAAAGCCACGGCUAACUACGUGCCAGCAGCCGCGGUAAUACGUAGGUGGCAAGCGUUGUCCGGAUUUAUUGGGCGUAAAGCGAGCGCAGGCGGUUCUUUAAGUCUGAUGUGAAAGCCCCCGGCUCAACCGGGGAGGGUCAUUGGAAACUGGAGAACUUGAGUGCAGAAGAGGAGAGUGGAAUUCCACGUGUAGCGGUGAAAUGCGUAGAUAUGUGGAGGAACACCAGUGGCGAAGGCGACUCUCUGGUCUGUAACUGACGCUGAGGCUCGAAAGCGUGGGGAGCAAACAGG
rnacentral:rRNA from 1 species